AUGGAGAUUUUGGAGAGAUGGGUGGCAACAGAAGGAGAAGAAUUAAUAUUUCCUCUACUUGAGUAUGUUUACAUUGAGUACUGCCCGAGGCAAACAACUCUACUUGAAGCACCAAAACUCAAAGUUAUUGACGUAGAGGAAGACAAGACUCAACUUUCCUUGUCAAUAUUUGAAUCCAAGCACAAGUCUUGCUUAUCUGACUUAUGGUUGUCUGUCAGUGAUACAGAAGCAACGCAAGAACUGGAGCUUGAUAAGGAUCCUGAAGUAUCCCUUUUUACACUAAUGUCUAAAGUAUCCCUUUCUACACUAAUGUAUUUUGGUUGCAGCUUCUUGUUACGCUCAAGUCCUUUGCAGCCAAUAGUUGGGGGUCUAGAAAUAUUUUGGUCAGCUUGGGGAAUUAGUGAUCGACAGUUGUGA
rnacentral:rRNA from 1 species